UUUCUUGGUCCCUUUUUUAAGAAGUAAAAGUCGUAACAAGGUCUCCGUUGGUGAACCAGCGGAGGGAUCAUUACAGAGUUAUACAACUCCCAUACCAUCUGUUAACCUACCCAGUUAUGCCUCGGCGUAAGCUCGGUUGGAGGCACCUGCAGCUACCCUGUAGUUGCGGACUGCCAACUCCAGCCGCGGCCCGCCGGCGGUACACUAAACUCUGUUUUAUUUUAUAUUCUGAGCGUCUUAUUUUAAUAAGUUAAAACUUUCAACAACGGAUCUCUUGGUUCUGGCAUCGAUGAAGAACGCAGCGAAAUGCGAUAAGUAAUGUGAAUUGCAGAAUUCAGUGAAUCAUCGAAUCUUUGAACGCACAUUGCGCCCAUCAGUAUUCUGGUGGGCAUGCCUGUUCGAGCGUCAUUUCAACCCUUAAGCCUAGCUUAGUGUUGGGAAUCUGCUGUACUGCAGUUCCUUAAAGACAGUGGCGGAGCGGCGGUAGUCCUCUGAGCGUAGUAAUUUAUUUCUCGCUUUUGUCAGGCUCUGUCCUCCCGCCAUAAAACCCCCAAUUUUUUAGUGGUUGACCUCGGAUCAGGUAGGAAUACCCGCUGAACUUAAGCAUACAAUUAAAGCGGGAGGAAA
rnacentral:rRNA from 1 species